UUGGAGGCCAGUGAAAGGCAAGACUAGGAAAAGCUGUACUUUGUAUAUAAAAAGAACUUUUCAUCUAAGUGAAAAGACUUAGAUAACAAAAGAAGACGAAAAGACCCCGCGGAACUUUACCUUUUCUUAUAUUUCCGUCUACGUACUCAAAAACAUAUAAGGUUUGAUUGGGGCAAUCUUGGAACCAAUAAAGCUUCCAUAUCUUCUACAAAAAUUUAUUUAAAAUUCAUUAAGGACUAAAAAGUAGUUACCCCGGGGAUAACAGCGUAAUCCAACUUAAGAGUACACAUCGAAAGUUGGGUUU
rnacentral:rRNA from 1 species